rnacentral:ribozyme from 1 species
UGCCCAGAAACUCCUAUCCCUACCUCCUCGUGGUACCGGCUGAAAAUCACGAUCAACCUUAGGGAAGAUCGGGUAAGUAACCCUGGUGGGAGCUUUGGUCAUAGGCUGACAGGGAAGG